rnacentral:misc_RNA from 1 species
GUGGUUUUUACGUAGCGCUGUUGUAGUGUUUCUGGGGGGUUUGGGGUUGGUCUUUGAGUUUGUUGUUGGUUGUUUGUCUGUUUAUUUGUCUGUUUUUGUGCAUUGCCUUGUGCGAUGCCUUGUGCCUUGCCUUGUGCGGUGCCUUGUGCUGCCUUGUGCGGUGCCUGGCAGUACAAACGAUCGACGGCAACACUCGGACCAGACCCAAGCCCUUGCAGACAAUAGACGUCUUUGCUUGCUUUGAUGAAACCAAAUCAAAAA